GGCGACGUGGUGAAGUGGCUUAACACGGAGGUCUGCAAAACCUCUAUUCAGCGGUUCGAAUCCGCUCGUCGCCUCCA
rnacentral:tRNA from 4 species